rnacentral:lncRNA from 1 species
GACAAAAUGAGGAAGAAAGUUCUUAAUGUUCCUCUUUUUAAAAUACGACAGUAAGGAAACAAUAGAUUAUCACUGAAGAUGUGAACUGGUCACUUACAGUAACCUAUGGAAAACCCAAGAGGGCAGUAAAGAAGAUUUCCCUGGAUACACUCAAACAUAUUACAAACAAUUACACAGGAUUGAAGGAU